GGGAAACUACCCUAACAGAGGUGGCACGUGUUGACGCAUCUCCCCCUUCCAAAAGCAUUUCUAGUCAGACAGAGAGGAGUGAAGAGCAACAAUUCUGCAGUGUAAUUAUCUACUUGGAAAGUGAGUGGUGUGCGUGUGUGUGCGGUCAAGAGUUAUAAUUGCCGAACCAUAGGUAUUCAUGCUCAUGCUAAACAGCGUCAUCAUCCAUACACACACAUACAUACAUACAUACACAUAAAAAAAAAAAACAUACCCAUAGACACAAGCCACAAUGGGUGAUGAAGAGCAAUCAGAAUGCAUCUCAGCAUUUCACUAUGCUCGCAUUUUCAAAUUGUAGAGAAAAAAAAUAUGUCUUCUUUACAUUGGCAAAGAGCAAGGGAAAGGGAAUGAAUGUCGCACAUUUUCCGUUCAAAAGCAAACAUCCCUUUGUAUAAGCUUGCUCGCUGGACAGGGUGGGUUUUCUCUUUUUUUUUUCGCUUGAUUGCUUGAUUGACGAAUUUUUCCACCAUUCACUGCUUUUACCCUCAAGCGGCAAAAAGUCGAUACGCAAGCAAACUCUCAACUCUUUUUUCUUUCCCGGUACAAGGGAUUGGAUUGCAUAACACCCUGCCCUUCCUCUUCAACCUACCUCUUAAAUCUUAAUGGCGGACCGUACGGAAUCGGAACGACGGUGCGGCCUCAGGGUGGUGGACUGAAAAAAAGUAAAUUUGCGAAAUUAAACGACCUGUUUAUGGUAAGGGAAGGUGAUAUUCGGGUAAAGUGGAAGAACAAGAGCAACGUUAUUCAUGCUAGUCUCGUAUCUAUGCGAAAGAUUGAGAUAUCUUUUCCCUAAGGGAUUUUCCACCCUUCAUUCAAGGGGAAUAACGCUAACGAAGCUGGUGGGAUUCCAUUUAGCCGGGACUGGUUUCAACCUAGUUGGCACUUUACGUAACAUUUGUGGCAUCCACCCAUCAUCGUGAACUAAACGAUAAAUAAAGGUUAUCUAAAAUGAGUAAGCAACUUUUUUCCUUUGUUGAUGAGUGGGUAGAUGCGACAUGAAAGGAAGUGGACUUUUGAAAUGGGAAGGGAAGAGAAGAGAAGAGAAAUGGGAGAGAAAUAAUGGAUAUUUACACUUUUUAUCUUAUUCCUUUGGAUUUGUUGUUAUUACAAAAGAAAAAUAAAAUUUUUAUUACCCUCAUCUUUUUUUGCUCGUUUCCUUCUUAUACAAUCUAAUCUCAUUCGUUGUCUAGCACUCAACAAAUAAUUACGGUUGUCCGGCUACAACCACAGUAACCCGGUAGAGCCGGUUAUCCUAACUAACCUCGUGACAGAUCUUCGCUCGUGCGUGCCCACAAUGUCUAGCCAGAAUGACGAGAAUUCAGCAAUAAGAUAGAAGAAGGUUCACCGUUUGCCUGGCAACAAAUGUAAGGUGAGCUAAGUUUUACUAUUUUCAUAGCUCGGUUACUUAUCUAGUCCUGCUCUUAAGGGCCAAAUCGCCGAAAUUCCUAUUUAGCCGUGUCGCCAUAUCGGUUUGACAGCUCUCAGUAUACAACCCGUUUUUCCUCUAUGCUUUUUAUUAAUUUCACGGAUUGGAUUUAUUUUUUUUGUGUGAAAAUAGAAACAAUGGUCGGCGUUGAAAGGAUGUGUCGGCCUUUUCAGCAACACGAUCUACUCGCUCUUUCCUUCACCCGUCUCCGUACUGCCAUCUCUUGCAUAGUAAUGGUUUGGUGGUGGGUUUCUUGCGUUUCCCAUUCCGAGUGCUAAAAACAACUACAAUACUUCAUACGGUGUCGUAAUGAGCUCAAAAGCUCAGGGUUGCAGUUGUUUACAUCAAAUAUAGAAGAACAUGUGAUUCUAUACAAUAUUGCGUCUCUCAUUACUCUCUCCCCUCCUUUUGUUAUGUACGUACAAAAAACAAUAUUGAAACCAUUGAAUCUAUUGUUAUUGCCGAUUUCACAGCGCAUGUGGGAUUUGAAAAAGGAAAUUUUUUUUAAAGCUUAUGUACGUUUGGUUACCAUCGAUUGCUACAUCAACACAUAUUAACCGUUGGCGAUGCUUCGCAAAUGUAAAAAGUCAAUCCGCUCAUAGCUAGUGAUUCGCUGUACGUUCAUGACUCAAAAUGACAUAUCAGCUUGGGCUAAGCCACCGCUAUAACGCUUAAGCAAAAAUUGUUACUCUCUCGGCUUCCUCCGGCAUUUUCAUUCAUCUAUUUUAUGGACUUGUGAUUGGUGAAUGCAGUCGUAUCUAAUGUACGUUAAAUGUUUUUAUUUCAUCUUUUUACCCGUAUCGAGUGCUGACUAAUUUUACUGUGUAACCUUACGUAUCUCUAGCGGGAUACCGUACAUGACUUUAGCGGGAAAAGGUAUGCCACUUCAUUGCUGCAUGGGGGUCUACCCGACUUUCCUUAGCGAAAUUUCAAUCUCCCCCACUUUGGUACUGCAAAGGGUAGAUGGCUGGUAAGUACUGGAGCAGGAUAGCGCAGAGUAGCGCGCAUUGGCAUGGCAUGGCAUGGCAUCCUGGUGCACUUUCGACAUGAGCAAGUUGAUAUGUGGUAGUAUUAUUUGCAUGUGGGAUAGAUGGUACAGAUGUGGGGGUUAGAAAACGCUCGCUGUAAACAUUGCUAGUAAAUGGUAUGGGAUUGGGAUAUACGAGCAAAUGCUGUUACAAAUGUAUAUACAAGCUAUAUAGUGUUUGCCAUUAUUUUUCAUACCGAAAUUAAAAUGAUACUAUAUUCAAAAUGAUUCCUUUGAUAUGUACCAUUGCGAAAAUUUUAUUUUAUUUUUUAAUAUGUAUGUAUACAUAUUUUUUUUUUGUUUUGAAUAAGUAAAUGCAAUGUUUAUGAAAAUGAAAAAAUCGAUUUAUAUAUUAUAUCGGUUGAUGUGCGACUUUUAAAUUUUAAAAUGUUUUUACAUUUUUUUCUUUAUUCAGUGAUAAUUUAUUUUUUUUUUCUUUUGUGGACAUCACAGACUCCAUGGAUACAUCAAAUUGCAAUCGCAGUCGUCGGCGCGCAUUUCGGAUUAACACUAAUAAAAGUGCAUGAUUCUUUAAACUCGCAGAAAUUCGUAAAUUCGUUGUACUGUUUACAAGACAGCAUAUUUUGCACAAAUAUUCAAUUCGUGCAAAAUGGUGAAAACUAUGUCUAAGCCGACUUCAAUCGCGUUCUCAAGCUAGGUUUAUUAAAAAUGGGCAAGGAAAAAUUCUUACUUGUUCAUCUAAUUAUUCUUUCUUUUUAUCUAAUAUAUAUUUCGUCCAUCCUUAAUGCUUGAUUCUUUUUUUUUUCUUUCUAAAUCACUAAAAAUAAUCUAUUUAACUAGAUUGAACAUUACAU
rnacentral:lncRNA from 1 species